UACGGCAACCAUGUUUGGUGAGGUGGGGUGAUAAAUUGCUGCAGUAGCUCUUUAAUAAUAAUUUCCAUUAUAUCUGCACAGGAUGUUUAGAUCAUCAUGUAAAUAGGGGGACGUACCGCCCAUAGCAGGUGGGCGCUGAAGAAGAGUUGGGCAACUGCUUCUGAGAGGUGUGCCAAGAAACGCAUUGUGGAAUGAGUAUUUCAUCACACUACAAAAGAAGAGGAGAACUUCCCACACAUUAGUCACUGGACGAUAAAGAAAAAGUCGUCACACUACAAAAGAGGAGAACUUCCCCCACAUCAGUCACUGGACAAUAAAGAAAACCCAACGUUUCAGCUCUGUCAUCCACACUCGGAGUGAUCUGAUGCGGCAUACGGUGACAUAAAGGUGAAAUUCAAAGCCCUUGAGGAACCGAUGAGCACUGGUUUAUCGGCAGUGACAGGAGCACCACGCUGUCUAACUGGGUUUGUUCCAGGCUGUUGACCCAGUAAGAAGCCUUGGCCUCCCGAGCUUCACA